CAAGACCUGAGAAGACAAGGCCAUAGCUGCAGGCAGAUGCCCUCCACGGGGCAGGAGACUUGGGAGGCGGGUGGGCACACCCCAGCCCCCAAUCUGGCGUGGCCCUUGGAGCCUUGGAUCUUAAUCGGGUGGGAGGAUCUGGCUACCCUGCAGGGGAAGAACCCCAAGGGGAGGGGACCAGGAGCUUCGUCCUGCCCAACCGUCACGACUGCCCCCCCAAACCUGCAGAGACCUGCAGAGUCGGCCGGCCAACGGCAGGGGAAUGGCCGCGGUGAGGCCGGCAAGAUCGGGACAGCUCUAUUUUAGGCCCAGGAGAGGUGAGAAGGCAAUUUCCCAGGAGGCGCUGACAUCAAUGCUUGGAACGAGUCUUCCCUCAGGAAUGACCGUCAUCAGGAGGCCUGGGAUCAGCCCUGCAGCUCUUCCUGCCCUCUGGCUAAUUCUUCCCUCACAAGGUCCAAGCUGGAGUAAUUUGGAACUCAGACUUUGUCACAGCAACUGCAAGAUGCCAGGUCCAGGCCAGAGGAGAGGUCCAUAAAAUCAGAGCUGGGCAGGAGGUG